GAUGGGGCCGGCGCGGCAAACGGGAAACAAUAAACUUCGGGGUAUUCUCAGACGAAACGACAACGAAGAAGAACCUUAGCAGUAGACGAUGCCCUUCGGGGUCGGCACACCAGAUUCUUGUGCCCCCUCAGAGCUGCUCUUCUCCACGAUUUGAAUCGGAUUGGCAGACCCAAUGCUCGGAUUUCCGCCGCAUUGUCUUCUCUUCCUCGUGGAAACUUCAAUGGCCGCCGAAUUCCGUUCCAUUUUCGUGAGUUCUCCUGCUCCAGAGACCGUAGGUUUGAGCUUUCGCUCGUUCGGUCUCGUUCCGAGCCCAGUGCUGAGUAAAGAGAUUGUUCUGGAAGAGAAAGUUCGAGUUUUGGGGGGUUGUGUUCGAAGGGGGAUUUCUUUUGGUGUUGCUGCGACUUUCUGUGGGCUGUUUGUGGUUAUGUGCCAGAGAGUUAUUGCUGCGGAGGGAGUCGCGGAAGCUUGUGUUAAGGUUUUGGGACUGAUAAAGUGGUGUUUAGGGGGUCAUAGCCAAGCUUUUGCAGGUUCUUAGUGUUCUCAAAAAGCAAGGCCUGGUGUUGGCUGCACUUGGGUCUUUCUGCUUUCUUCUCCAUGCAGCUGCAGAAGGAUGUUUCUUGCUCCACUUCCAUCCAAUUUAAUCGGAAUCUCUGUUUUCUAUCCAUCCGGCACUGCUCUUCAUUUAUGUUGCCGCAGUUCUUGGGAUCCCCAUUUUCUCCAGUGCUCCAUGUGGAACCUGUCAGUGGGCUGUGAUAAAACAAGUUGUUUGUACCAGUCUAUUAUUUAUGCAUAGGUCUGGAAAUGACAGGAAUCAUUUUUUGUAAUUGAGUCUGACAAAACUUCUGGAGGCUCGUGUAUUCUUUUAACUGACAGAAAUUCUACCAGUUACGUUGUCAUGGGGUGAUUGGAGCUGCUUCUUACCUCUUUCCAUCCAUCCACUUCUCCAAAUUUCUGACACAAUACCUGCAAUUGUAAUCUAGAAAGUGAAUUUUCUUGUAUUUAGUAUUUGGCUGCUUGCACUUGUUGCAUGUCUUCCACUUUUUUUUUUUUCCAACUCCAUGAAAGGAGGUCUAGACCUUCAGAUUUGAUUUUCUUCUUUGGACAAUGAGUACUCUUGCAGUUCAAAUAGUUCGAUAACAUACUGAAUAUAUUGACAAUUAUUUGUUGAAGGAAGAUCUUGUCACAUGUAAUGUUUUAAGCUACACUUUGUUUGAUUUGAACUGUUUUAAUAAUUCCAUCAGACCAUAGUUCUCGUUAUUUGUUGGUUCUUGUGGUUAGGGUUCUGGUUGCCACUUCAUAAUUUGUCCUCCUAACAAAUUGUAGCCACUUGGGGGAGUAUGGGAUUUUUUUAUAAUUUGUAUAGUUAAAAUUCAAAUUUUGAGUUGAAUUAUAGAAUAUUUGCAGAUGAAAUAGCUUGUCAAUGUGAAAAUAAAUGCGAUGGAUUCCUCUUACAAAAAAAAAUGAAUUAUUUUCCAUAGAAGUAUUUUGGAUAAAGUAAGACAAUAAUAUUUACGACAUAUAAGACUUAAACGAAUGAAGAUUUAAUUAUAAUUAUUAACUCUCUCCUAUGUUCGUAUUGAACCUAAUUGUAUUUUGAAUGAGAUUGCAUCCUACCAAUUCACAGCUUAUGAUUCAGUGAAUUAAGUAGCUAUGCAUCAGACUGCUCUGAAGAUAAUUCUUUCCCAAGAUAACCACUUUUGCUACUUUAUCGUCAUGUAGUCUUGGUCAUUCUUCACUUCGUGCUGAUUUUUGUUGUUCAAUCAUAGUUACUGAUUUUCGUUGUUCCGUCAUAGUUACUGAAGUCAGAGAUUGUGUUGGCAGUAAGGUAGCAGCACAUCAAUUGCAGCUAUCAUUUGGUAUAGUGGAGCUUCCAUUUACUUUCAUUUCAUCUCAUGUGGUUGAGGUUGCUAAUUUACGCAGAUACUGGAAGCUAAUGCCAGAAAAGUCAGCAAAGUCCAUUUUAAACCAAUUCACAGUUAUGAAGUUGCAGACCUGGAAAUUAAAACGCCUGGUUUGCACCAAAGUCAUCAAAAGGAAGAAUCCAUCUGAUUCCCCAGAGAAGCAGGAAGAAGGCUACCCCUGUCAAGUCAAAUUCCAGUAUGCAAUGGAAGGCUCUAACAGUCUAACUGGUAUGUGAUUAGUUACAAUACAGCAUAUGAUCAUGAUAGAAAAUAUGACUAGUAAUUACAUUGCACUCCAGAUCUCUCUGUUCAUUCUCCUCGCAUAACUGAAAAAAGGCUAGGAAAAGAAAGAAAAUAGAAGCACCCCGGAAAGUAACAAAAACGAAGGAUGAAAAUUGAAAGGGCAUUUAAGAUGGUUACAGGUGAAGGGAUGUAUCAACAUCUGUCUCAUUGCAGUGACCUGAGCCAUUAGCUCUGGGCUUAUUGGGCCGCAGGCUCAUUGACAGUGAAGUCUCGAGGAGCUCGAAUUCAGGAUGAUUACCUCGGAUGUCAAGCUGCUGGGAUGGAGUACCAUGGAGAGGCCUAGAAGGAUGAACCAAAUCCGGGUGGAAGAACCAGUUGGGUUGCUCGCAGUAAGCACUCGAGGUAAGGCGAUCCCCCUGAGCUGCAGGAGCUCUCAUGAGCUCUCUUUCUUCCCUUCUCUCUUUAACUCUCUGCAAUUGUCUGAAUCUCUCCUGCAGGAGAGCAAUGGAGGAGCGGACAACAGGGUCAUUGUUUUGCUUCCCCAUGAGACCAGUGGGAACUGAGACUCCCAAAUGCACAGAAGGUUGGUGGUUGAGAUUGAUGGGAGUGUAUGUUUGAUUUUAACUUUUAAGGUUCAAUGUGAGCGGUGGCUGUGCUUAUUAUU